rnacentral:tRNA from 1 species
AGAGAAAGAUGGUGAGUUACAAAAGGGUUAUUUUAUUUCUUUGCUGUCAAUUUUAACAUAUACAAAUAUUUAAGCUAUUUAGUCUCGUAGCUCAGCUGGUUAGAGCGCUACACUGAUAAUGUAGAGGUCGGCAGUUCGAGUCUGCCCGAGACUACAAAAGUUUACUUAUUUGAGGAAAUUCUAGAAGUUGGGUGAGAGUGGUUAGAAGACUAAAUCAUUCAAAUAUAAUUGCCCAUACUAGAGAUGGGGGAUUAGCUCAGCUGGCUAGAGCGCUUGCCUUGCACGCAAGAGGUCAUCGGUUCGACUCCGAUAUUCUCCACGAUGAAUACUUUAAAAAGUAUUCUCAAAAUUUAAGUUUGAGGUUGGUGCGUAAGCACACUCCGAUUACUAAAAAUUUUGAACAACGUUCAUUGACAUAUUGGUAAAAAUGAUAUCGUAAAGAAUCAAGAUAGAGACGUUUAGUUUACACUAAACGAUUUUAAAUUUUUAUAAGAAUAAAAGAGCUCGUUGUAGUAUUUUAUACUACGGCAAAAAGUAC